UGGGGAAUAUUGGGCAAUGGGGGGAAACCCUGACCCAGCAACGCCGCGUGAAGGAAGAAGGCUUUCGGGUUGUAAACUUCUUUGACGAGGGACGAAAAAAUGACGGUACCUCGAAAACAAGCCACGGCUAACUACGUGCCAGCAGCCGCGGUAAUACGUAGGUGGCAAGCGUUGUCCGGAUUUACUGGGUGUAAAGGGCGCGUAGGCGGGAUUACAAGUCAGAUGUGAAAUGCCAGGGCUUAACCCUGGAGCUGUAUUUGAAACUGUAGUUCUUGAGUAUCGGAUAGGCAGGCGGAAUUCCUAGUGUAGCGGUGAAAUGCGUAGAUAUUAGGAGGAACACCAGUAGCGAAGGCGAACUGCUGGACGGCAACUGACGCUGGGGCGCGAAAGCGUGGGGAGCAAACA
rnacentral:rRNA from 1 species